rnacentral:rRNA from 1 species
CCCGCACAAGCGGUGAGCAUGUGGUUUAAUUCGACGCAACGCGAAGAACCUUACCAGGGCUUGACAUCCCUGACCGCGUAUGAAAGUACGUUUUCACCCUCGGGUGACAGGGAGACAGGUGGUGCAUGGUUGUCGUCAGCUCGUGUCGUGAGAUGUUGGGUUAAGUCCGCUAACGAGCGCAACCCUCGCUGUGUGUUACAAGUGUCACACGGUACUGCCGGUCUUAAGCCGGAGGAAGGUGGGGAUGACGUCAAGUCAGCAUGGCCUUUAUGUCCUGGGCUACACACACGCUACAAUGGCCAACACAAUAGGUUGCUAAGCCGCGAGGUGGAGCCAAUCCUCAAAGUUGGUCUCAGUUCAGAUUGCAGGCUGCAACCCGCCUGCAUGAAGAUGGAGUUGCUAGUAACCGCAGGUCAGCUAUACUGCGGUGAAUACGUUCCCGGGGCUU